rnacentral:tmRNA from 1 species
GGGUCCGACCGGUUUUGACAGUAAGCGCAUCAGAUAGGUAAGCACGUAGAGCGUUGUAAGAAUGGCUCUUUAAACAUAACUUUCAAAACUUACAAUCGGCGAAGAUAACUCUUACGCUAUGGCUGCUUAAUUUAGAAUUAAGUGACCUUUGCUUUCCGGUGAGCUAAACUGCUCGGCGCGCCGGGUAAAGCAUCAUAAAUGUGUAGUUUGUUUUAUUAGUGUUACGGAGUAAAACAAUAUUAGUAACUAAGUUAAAGUUUGGUUUGAAUUAACGCCUGGCUUUGAUCGAAAAUCAAGUUAAUGAUAAACGUGUAGAAAGCUUAUUUUUUCCUUAUUUGGACGAGAGUUCGAAUCUCUCCGGAUCCACUC